rnacentral:RNase_P_RNA from 1 species
UUGGCCGGAAGAAGACGGUUGGGAGAAACUCAAAGGCCUAUUUAUGGCCUACAAAACUCCCGGGAAGGUCUGAGAGAAGGCCCUUUCGUGAGAUCUAGGAGAUCUUCUAGUGUCCUUAUAGAAGAGAGGCUGUAGAAGAAGGUGUUUCCCCCGAGUGGGUUUGGAAACGGCCUCGGCCAGCAAUCACCUAUACAAGCUAAGUGCGAUCGUCAUACCAACACAAUUCAGACUAGUCUUCGGCCAA